UAAAGUGUCAGGUUUUUGUAAUACUUACCUGGCUGUCUGUGUAUAUGUACACAAUUUAUAGAUAAGUAUUACUAACGACUGUCUCUUCUCACAGAGCUAUCACCUACUCAAAAUACAAAAACUGGACAACAGUGAAGUAUUUCAUUGCAUGUCACCCAUCUGGCUCAAUCACAUAUCUCUCCAAAGGCUGGGCAGGGAGGGCUUCAGAUGUGCAUAUUGUAAGGAACUCAGACUUCUUAUCUCAGAAGUUCCACCAUGCAGGAGAUCAGAUUUUAGCCGACAGGGGCUUCACUUUGAAGGAUGACUUUGCUGUUCUGGGUGCACAGCUCAUCACACCGUCUUUCACGAGGGGCCGAAAACAAUUGUCAGCCGAAGAUGUUGCGAUCUGUGGUCUGCAGAGAGAGUCAUUGGGGCCCUGAAGAGCCGGUACCACAUUCUGGAUGGCCCACUUCCUCUGCGCCUGGUGAAGAGACUGCAGGGUGAGAGACAGAAGAGAGAAGAGGCCAUGAUGGAUAGGAUUGUGCAUGUCUGUGCAGCACUAAUGAACCUGUCUGGCAGUGUCAUGUACAACCGUUACAGAAUCUGAGAGUCCCUGAACUGAUCUCAGUGCUGCUCUGCUGCUGCACACCCUGUCACCCUGCCUCUGAUGCCUGACGCUCUGCCUCUGAUGCCUGACGCUCUGCCUCUGAUGCCUGACGCCCUGCCUCUGAUGCCUGACGCUAUGCCUCUGAUGCCUGACGCUCUGCCUCUGAUG